rnacentral:lncRNA from 1 species
GCCAGAGUAAGUGUAAAUACUAGAAAAGAGUUUUCACGAUAUUUACAAAUAAACUAGAGUCGAGUCAAUCUAGUAUAUGACUAACGAUGGAGUUUGAUGAGUUCUCCAUGACCUCCAUCAAGUUGAAACUCACGAUAGAGGGAUUGUAUCAUACGAUAACUGCACCUAAAGGUUCAUUUUUUUAUUCUACUGGGUUGCCACUAUAUGUUGCUAGA